CAAUCACUGAAGAGCUGUGAUGUUCCUAAACAGUUAAAAGUCAAGCACAGCUAUGUAACUCAUACAGUUUAUCUUUGCCAGACUAGACGAAAGAAGGAGCACUACUGCAUUCUGAUAAAACAGGUCUAUGCAGCUACCAGGAUAAUGGAAUCUAUGUUGACUUUAGCAACAGAACAACCUGUUAAGAAGAACACUCUUAAGAAAUAUAAAAUAGCUUGCAUUGUUCUUCUUGCUUUGUUGGUGAUCAUGUCACUUGGAUUAGGCCUGGGGCUUGGACUCAGGAAACCGGAAAAGCAAGGCAGCUGCAGGAAGAAGUGCUUUGAUGCAUCAUUUAGAGGACUGGAGAACUGCCGGUGUGAUGUGGCAUGUAAAGACCGAGACGAUUGCUGCUGGGAUUUUGAAGACACCUGUGUGGAAUCAACUCGAAUAUGGACGUGCAAUAAAUUUCGUUGUGGAGAGACCAGAUUAGAGGCCAGCCUUUGCUCCUGUUCAGAUGACUGUUUGCAGAGGAAAGAUUGCUGUGCUGACUAUAAGAGUGUUUGCCAAGGAGAAACCUCAUGGCUGGAAGAAAACUGUGACACAGCCCAGCGGUCUCAGUGUCCAGAAGGGUUUGACCUGCCACCUGUUAUCUUGUUUUCUAUGGAUGGAUUUAGAGCUGAAUAUUUAUACACAUGGGAUACUUUAAUGCCAAAUAUCAAUAAACUGAAAACAUGUGGAAUUCAUUCAAAAUACAUGAGAGCUAUGUAUCCUACCAAAACCUUCCCAAAUCAUUACACCAUUGUCACGGGCUUGUAUCCGGAAUCACAUGGCAUCAUUGACAAUAAUAUGUAUGAUGUAAAUCUCAACAAGAAUUUUUCACUUUCUUCAGAGGAACAAAAUAAUCCAGCCUGGUGGCAUGGGCAACCAAUGUGGCUGACAGCAAUGUAUCAAGGUUUAAAAGCCGCCACCUACUUUUGGCCUGGAUCAGAAGUGGCUAUAAAUGGCUCCUUUCCUUCCAUAUACAUGCCUUACAACCGAAGUGUCCCAUAUGAAGAGAGGAUUUCUACAUUGUUAAAAUGGCUGGACCUGCCCAAAGCUGAAAGACCCAGUUUUUAUACCAUGUAUUUUGAAGAACCUGAUUCCUCUGGACAUGCAGGUGGACCAGUCAGUGCCAGAGUAAUUAAAGCCUUACAGGUAGUAGAUCAUGCUUUUGGGAUGUUGAUGGAAGGCCUAAAGCAGCGGAAUUUGCACAACUGUGUCAAUAUCAUCCUUCUGGCUGACCAUGGAAUGGACCAGACUUAUUGUAACAAGAUGGAAUACAUGACUGAUUAUUUUCCCAGAAUAAACUUCUACAUGUACGAAGGGCCUGCGCCCCGCAUCAGAGCUCUUAAUGUACCUCAUGACUUUUUUAGUUUUAAUUCUGAAGAAAUUGUUAGAAACCUCAGUUGCCGAAAACCCGAUCAGCACUUCAAACCCUAUUUGACUCCUGAUUUGCCAAAGCGACUACACUAUGCCAAGAACGUCAGAAUCGACAAAGUUCAUCUCUUUGUGGAUCGACAAUGGCUGGCUGUUGGGAGUAAAUCAAAUACAAAUUGUGGAGGAGGCAACCAUGGUUAUAACAAUGAGUUUAGGAGCAUGGAGGCUAUCUUUCUGGCACAUGGACCCAGUUUUAAAGAGAAGACUGAAGUUGAACCAUUUGAAAAUAUUGAAGUCUAUAACCUAAUGUGUGAUCUUCUACGCAUUCAGCCAGCACCAAACAACGGAACCCGUGGUAGUUUAAACCAUCUUCUGAAGGUGCCUUUUUAUGAGCCAUCCUAUGCAGAGGAGGUGUCAAGGUUUUCUGUUUGUGGCUUUGCUAAUCCAUUGCCCACAGAUAAUCUUAGCUGUUUAUGCCCUCAUCUACAAAAUAGUAUUCAGCUGGAACAAGUGAAUCAAAUGCUAAAUCUCACCCAAGAAGAAAUAACAGCAACAGUGAAAGUAAAUUUGCCAUUUGGGAGGCCUAGGGUACUGCAGAAGAAUGCGGACCACUGUCUCCUUUACCACAGGGAAUAUGUCAGUGGAUUUGGAAAAGCUAUGAGGAUGCCCAUGUGGAGUUCAUACACAGUCCCCCAGUUGGGAGACACAUCGCCUCUUCCUCCCACUGUCCCAGACUGUCUGCGGGCUGAUGUCAGGGUUCCUCCUUCUGAGAGCCAAAAAUGUUCCUUCUAUUUAGCAGACGAGAAUAUCACCCACGGCUUCCUCUAUCCUCCUGCCAUCAAUAGAACUUCUGAUAGCCAAUAUGAUGCUUUAAUUACGAGCAAUUUUGUACCUAUGUAUGAAGAAUUCAGAAGUAUAAAUGUGGGACUACUUCCACAGUGUUCUUCUUAUAAAACACGCCACAGAAAGAAAUGGAGUAAAUGUGGUUAGUGGACCAAUAUUUGAUUAUAAUUAUGAUGGCCAUUUUGAUGCUCCAGAUGAAAUUACCAAACAUACAGCGAACACUGACAUUCCCAUCCCAACGCACUACUUUGUGGUGCUGACCAGUUGUAAAAACAAGAGCCACACACCGGAAAACUGCCCUGGGUGGCUGGACGUCCUACCCUUUGUCAUCCCUCACCGACCUACCAACGUGGAAAGCUGUCCUGAAGGUAAACCGGAAGCUCUUUGGGUUGAAGAAAGAUUUACAGCUCACAUUGCCCGGGUCCGUGAUGUAGAGCUUCUCACUGGGCUUGACUUCUAUCAGGAUAAAGCGCAGCCUGUCUCUGAAAUUUUGCAACUAAAGACAUAUUUACCAACAUUUGAAACCACUAUUUAACUUAAUAAUGUCUACUUAAUGUAUAAUUUACUGUAUAAAGUAAUUUUGGAAAAAUGUAAAUGAUUUUUUCUGGAGAAUUAUAAAAUAAAGUUUUCUAUUUUUCCUUAAGUCCCCUAAAAGCCAUAAUUUUUAUCAUUCCCUUUUCUCUUUUUCAUUUCUAUGAAUAUGUAUUAUAUUAAAGUUAUAUUUUUCACACAGAGAUGAUGCUAUCUUACACCUUCCCUUUUUUGUUGGAUUUUUAAACUCUAAUCUCAUGACAGAUUAUACCUUCCUUAUUACAUGUUUUAUCUCAGAAUCUUUGAAUAUAUUUUUCUGCCCAGAAUUAUCUAAACAAAAGGGAGAACAAAAGAAGUAUGUCUCACUUGGGAACUGAAUCAGCUCUAAAUCAGUUUUGUUGUAAAACUUUUUGUAUUUGAUUGGCAAUACUGAUUAAAAUUUAAAAUGCAC